rnacentral:rRNA from 1 species
AUUGAACGCUGGCGGCAUGCCUUACACAUGCAAGUCGAACGGCAGCACGGGAGCUUGCUCCUGGUGGCGAGUGGCGAACGGGUGAGUAAUGCAUCGGAACGUGCCCUGAAGUGGGGGAUAACGUAGCGAAAGUUACGCUAAUACCGCAUAUUCUGUGAGCAGGAAAGCAGGGGAUCUUCGGACCUUGCGCUUUUGGAGUGGCCGAUGUCGGAUUAGCUAGUUGGUGGGGUAAAGGCCCACCAAGGCGACGAUCCGUAGCGGGUCUGAGAGGAUGAUCCGCCACACUGGAACUGAGACACGGUCCAGACUCCUACGGGAGGCAGCAGUGGGGAAUUUUGGACAAUGGGCGCAAGCCUGAUCCAGCCAUGCCGCGUGAGUGAAGAAGGCC